CACUUAGGAAGGGCAGCGUGUGGGAUGCAUCCGUAGCAACAGAACCAUAAUUACACAUGCAGGGGGCUGACUGCGUUUGGAGGGCCCGCGGCUGCAAAGAAUGGCGCUGAUCUGGCUUGAGCGUAAUAGUAAUUCCAUUGUUGGGCCGCCUUUUUAUUUACGCCUUGGCUCUCGCCGGCAGAUGAGCCACUAGCCGAGCUGACAUCACCUCAUCGUGCGUGUGCAUUCAUCGGCCUCCUUCACUGAUGAAUGCCAUGACAGCCCCAGAAGAUGAAUGUGUUAUUGUCAUCCAUGUCGUUAAUGGCUUCAAAGGAGCACCUGGUGUGAGCUGCACACACACACACACACACACACACACACACACACACUCCACCAUCUUGUCAGCUAUUCAAAUAUCAUAAAGUUACAUUCAAUGAGUCAGUCAAUGCUUUACGUGCACAUUAGGCGCUCGCGUAUUUCCAUGAGGUCUCCAUUGUGUUUUGGCCCGGGAGAGUUCCAGUAAGUGACACUCGGGGGCCUGACUCACCUUGGAGGGCGGGGCGUUCGGGGGUAGCCGGCUGAGUCAGAGUGCAUCAUGGCUUAAUAAUGCCACUGUUGUUGUGAGGAGGCAUAGAAAUUGGGCUAUGAAUGGAGGAGGGAGAGAGCUGUAAAAAAAAAAAGCACAAAUAAACAAAUAGGGCCUGUUAUUCUUCACAAUAAAGACCUCCCUGAAGCCAAAGGGUGACUGCGGAUGGUUGUAAAUACUUUGUGGAACUUAAGGAAGCCUGUUUCCGCCACAGGAAAAAAAAAAUAUCCUGAUUCUAAGUCAUAAUUAUGAGCUAAAAUGUCAACAUUAUGAGAUAAAACCUCCCGAGUUCCAUUUGACCAAGGCUUCAGUGAAGGCGACACGCUAGUAGGAUGCAUCUCACCUUUGGGAUAUGUUUUUCGAGAUGCACAGUAUAUGAAUGAAUGUAGUAGACAUUAAAAAAAAAAAAUAGGAACAAGAACUGGGAAAUAACGUUCCCACUUUUGUACAGAUUUAGUAGAGAUACUCAAUUGUUUUAGGCCACCAUUAAAUAAAAGUAAAGUAAAGUAAAGUACACACAAUCUACACUGCAAAACCGCUGCUGCAAGCGCUGCAACCAUUCUGUCCAGUGGACAGUCAUCAAUGAUAUAAUAAUCAUUAUUAUAUUAUUAAUUAGCCUAUUAUUAUAACUAUCAUCAUUAUUCUUCUUCUGAUUAUUACUACUACUACUAGUGGUAGUAGUAGUAGUAGUAGUAGGCUAGUAUUAGCCAGCUUAUUGUCUUGCUUAUUAGCCUGCUUUUGCCCUAUUAUGUGAAAUUUGUCAGAAUUUUUUUUUGUAAAAAAAAAACAAAAUCUAAAAAAAAAAAAAAUCAAAUUAUUUAGAGGGGCUUAAGAAAAUUUUAGGUGGGAUUCAGCCCUAAAACCCCUAAAAUCUUAUUAGCCCCUAUUAGCUGAAAUUUUUAUAUGAGAUUUUAUGAGAUUUUUUUUUCUAAAAAAAAAAACUCAAUAAAAAAUACACAAAAUUUAAAAACAUUUUAGAGGGGAUUCAGCCCUAAAACCCCUAAAAUCUUAUUAGCCUGCUUUUCCCUAUUAUGUGAUAUUUUUAUAUGAGAUUUUGUAUGAGAUUUUUUUGAAAAAAAAUCAAUAAAGAAAUGUAAAAAAAAUCAAUAAAAAAUAUCAAAUUAUUUAGGGGGCUUAAGAACAUUUUAAGGGGUAUUCAGCCCAAAAAAGGUUUAAAAUCGUAAAGCCUGCUUUUGCCUUAUUGUAUGAAUUUUUUACGAGAUUUUAUAUGAGAUUUUUUUGUUAAAAAAAAAAUCUAUAAAAAUAUCAAAUUAUUUAGGGGGGCUUAAGAACAUUUUAGGGGGAUUCAGCACUAAAACCCCUAAAAUCUUAUUAGCCUGCUUUUGCCCUAUCAUAUGAAAUUUUUAUAUGAGAUUUUAUAUAAGUUUUUUUUGUAAAACAAAUCAAUUAAAAAAAUCAAUAAAAAAAAUCUCAAAUUAUUAAAGGGGGCUUAAGAACAUUUUAGGGGGGAUUCAGCCCUAAAACCCCUAAAAUCUUAUUAGCCUGCUUUUGCCCUAUUAUAUGAAAUUUUUCAUAUGAGAUUUUAUAUGAGAUUUUUUUGCAAAAAAAAAAAUCAAUAAAAAAUAUCAAAUUAUUUAGGGGGACUUAAGAACAUUUUAAGGGGGCUUCAGCCACCCUAAAAAAGGCCCAAGUUACACACAUCCCCGAUGAAAAAAUUGCACAAAACUUUGAACCGAGAACUCAUCGUAUCACACACAACCUCACUUCAGCGAGCUUUCGAGGUAGCCAUUUUAAAAGAACCCUAACUACCUCACACUCUUUUGCUGUUUCUGUGACAAAAAGACUUCUCCUUUAUCGUAUAACAAUGGAGUCCAUCUGACUAAUUCAUUUGGGAGGCUCUUUAACGAGACGUAACUCCACUCCGGCACCUCCACUCCGAUAUAAGAGAUGAUGAAAUAUGAAAAUUGACAGCGCCGCCAGCCUGCCUUUUACGAGAGUCCUCCAUAAGUCAUAGAAGGAGGGCUCAUCACGGAGGAGGGAUUUACGAUAUGACGGGAACACUCCUCAUCCGUGAUCCGCAUCCCCUCUGCCAUGAGAAGAAUCAUUAUCUAGAUCAGGCUUCUCUAUAAGCUUCAUAGACAGACUGCUAUUUACAUAUUGUAAACAAGACACCCCCCCGCACGCUCAUGUGUGUUUAGGGGGUGUAGGGGGUCAAACACACUGGUGAUGUAAGAAUGUUUGUUUACAUCAGUGGGUUUUUUCCUAUCAUGCCCCCCCAAGGGACAGAAUGCAAAUAAAUAAAGAAAAUGCAACAAAAUGGAGAGCAUACAACUGUAUUCAAGAGUCAAAUUGCAUGUUGAGUACUAGAAAUGUGUACACGUUGGCAGGUCUGCACUACAAUGAUUCUGAUUCUGAUUCUGAUUCUGAUUCUGAAUCUGAAUAUGAUUCUGACUCUGACUGAUUCUGAUUCUGAUUCUGAUUCUGAUUCUGAUUCUGAUUCUGAAUCGGAAUCUGAAUAUGAUUCUGACUCUGAUCCUGACUCUGAUCCUGAUUCAGAAAGCUUUCUAGAUUUUCCAGAUUCCGCAUUUCUAUAUGGAGUAUUUCAACUGUGUUUUUGUUCCAAUUCAAACAGUCUGUUUAAUUUACAAUGAUUCUGAUCCUGAUCCUGAAUCUGAAUCUGAAUCUGAAUCUGAAUCUGAAUCUGAUUCUGA